CGGUACAGUACGUCUGUGGAGAAGAGGACGGUUAGUCCGAGUUAGUCGAUGUGUGGUCAAAUGUUUGCUAAGGUUAUGUUGGCCUGUUAUAAAAUGUGCUUAACAUUAUUCUCUUAAAGGAAAAAGCUGAAGUUCACAAUAUAAUAAUCAAAAUGAAAUCUGCAUUAGCAAUUGUCAUGGUGUUUGUAGGAUGUUGUAGCAAUGUGGUGUUCCUUGAAUUAUUAGUGAAGGAAGAUCCAUCAAGUGGCAAUAUAAUUACAUUUUCCCAGUUUUUUAUUAUAGCUCUUGAAGGUUUCAUCUUUACAGCUCACUUUGGUACCAAGAAGCCAAGGAUUGGAAUCAAAGAUUAUGCCAUCCUUGUUGCUAUGUUCUUCUGUGCUAAUGUGUGCAAUAAUUAUGCAUUCAAUUUCAACAUUCCCAUGCCCCUUCACAUGAUAUUUAGGGCUGGAUCUUUGAUUGCAAAUAUGAUUAUGGGUAUACUGAUCUUGAAGAAGAAAUAUACACUGUCAAAAUAUCUUUCAGUUUUCAUGAUUACACUUGGAAUUUCAAUUUGCACUAUUGUAUCAGGAAAAGAUGUUAAAGCGACCACGCCAUUGAACCAGGUUGUUCCUGAACAGUCUGAGAUGGAGGUACUCUUUUGGUGGACUGUAGGCAUUUUGCUUCUAACAGUUGCACUCUUUGUAUCGGCAAGAAUGGGUAUAUACCAAGAAGUAUUAUAUGGAAGAUAUGGGAAGCAUCCAAGAGAAUCAUUGUUUUAUACACAUUUGCUUCCUCUUCCUGGAUUCCUUAUUUUAUAUGACAACAUUUAUUCUCACAUCAUUUCAUUUGCUCAAAGUACACCUGUGAUUAUUCCUGUCAUUGGUGCACGCAUACCAAAGCUCUAUCUCUACCUUGCUGGGAAUGUUCUCACACAAUGUAUUUGUAUCAACUCAGUUUAUGUACUUACAACUGAGUGCACAUCUCUCACCGUUACAUUGGUCGUGACACUUCGGAAAUUUGUUAGUUUGCUUUUUUCUAUUGUGUAUUUUCAGAAUGAAUUCACCUUUGCACAUUGGCUUGGAACAUUCAUGGUGUUUUCUGGAACUCUGAUAUUUACAGAAGUAGUAGAUAAAUUUAAAGCUGCAGUAUCUGGACAAUUAGAGAAAAAAGUUGAAUAAUAUACUGUAUUUGUUGUGACUGUGAUUCAGAAGGAUCUUCUCAGAUUCAUUAAAACUGACAUUUUGAACUCAUUUGGAACAUCAUAUUAGAUGUCUGAAGCAGGCUUAAAAUGCUAUAAAACCAUAUGAAGAAAUGCGUCAUCUGAGUUCAAAAGCAUCAGUACAUUUGUGUUAGAUUCUCAACGAGAACGACUAGUACAAAUGAGGCUUUGGACCAUUACCCAUUCAUAAGGUGAGAAUCAGCUAUAAAGGUUUUUUUUUUUAUAAAUUGUCAAAACAAAGACUCACCAACUUCAGAAUUUUUCAUUUACAUUGACUGAUUUUUUCCUGGCUUAUUACUGUCUUAAUGACAACCCAACAGAUUGAUUUUCUUUAUGCAAUUUUCAGUUAUUUUGUUGUUCAUUGUUCUCCCAAGUCUUCAGGAUCAUGUUCUUGUUCCUAUGAAGGUCUUAUUUCCAACUGUAAACGUUGACAUACUAAUUUUUUACUGUAUAAUACCUUUGUUUCUCAAGUCCAAAUCUUCUUUUUUAUGCCCAGUGCUUAACUUAACUUCUUUCAGUUUGAACUUUUCAAACAGCUUUAUUAAUAAACAUACACUCUGCAUAUCAGUAUUCAAUUCAGAAAGUAGACUCAUGGAGAAAGAGUGAAGUGGUAUGACCACAGAUACAAGAGCAGGAAUGUGACUGGACUCUGUUUGGAAAAUCCAGAACUUUAAUUUUUUACAGAGAUUGCUGGAACUGUGGGUCACAAAGUGGGACCAUUGUUCCACAGUGAAGGUGAGAUUUACAUGCCUUGGAAAUUCCAGAUGGAUAACCCUGUUGCUACCACAUCAUUAACAUGUACAGGGUAAUGUAUGGAGACCAUUUUAUACCUUAAAAAUGCUGCCAGUCAUAUUAAGAUCUGCUUGUGUACACCUGAAACUGAAGCAGCAAACACUCAUAGCACAAUCAAUGUACCUAUUCUGCAAGAGACCCCUAUAAACUGAAUUAAAAUUGCAGGUAGUCUGCAUGAAUGUUUAUUUGCAGACACCCUGCUUUAAACUGCUGCAGUGCUGAACUCACAGUUCACAGUGGUUAGGACUUCCACUUCAUAUUCAGGAUGUUCUGAGUUCAACUCUUGGACUAGCAGCUGAUUAUCCUGACUGAGGUUUUCGAGUGUUUUCUUGGUUCUGGAGGUGAGUGGUGGAAUAAUAUCUUAAAAUUGCCCUCAACCAUUUUCUUCUUCAUCUUUUCUAAUUCAUUAGCUGUGAUCCUAUCAGUGGAUGGUAUUUAAUCUGGGCACUUGAAAUGGCAUCUUUAAAUGAACCAAGAAUCAGUUAUCCUCAGAAAUGAUGACGAUAUAUCCAAUCUAUGAAAAUUUGAAGUAUAAUUUGCAUGUUACUGUAUUCUGAAUUUAUUCCUUGCAAUCAUGUAACUUUACUGGUAGUGGCCUAGCAUUUGAAUACCAUUUCUCAACCCAUCAUGGGACACAACCAAUUUCAAAAGUACUGAAACAAAAGAAUACCACAAAUUAAUGCAGUAACAGGAAAAAUAUCUUCUAUGGUGUGGAUGAAUACUGAUACAUUCUUUGUAGAACAAAAGGGUAACCCCUCAGAAAACUGCUCAAGAGCUUGAAUAUAAGAAUUGCUGUUUUAAAUUUAUGUUGGAUGAUACAAAUAUCAUAUUUCAGGUUUGUAUCACACAUUUAAGCUGGAACAUGAAGAUAUAGGCCAUAAAGGCAGGUAUUUUCAUGCACUUCAAUUGUUUGCAUGAGAUACAAAUGAUUUGCACAUUGUAAUCCCAUUAAAGGACAUGUCAGGAAAGUUAAAUUCCUUUCUCUAACAUAAAGGUACUGGAUAAUAGCAAGAUUUGCAUUUUUCUGUGUGAAGUAAGGCACUGUGUAGCCAUAAUACUAUAUGAAAUGUUCUUACAGUAAAUGUGGGAAGUGGUUUCAUAACAGUGCUUUAAUGAAUAAUCAAUAAGAAAUACAAUUAAACUCUCAGGGGUUUCAGUUCCAUAUUUAGUUUUCUAAAUUCCUUAUUAAUCUUGAAUAUCUAAAAUCAACAUAUAAUACCAUCACAAUGAUAUAUGUUGAUUUUAUAUAAUAUUUUAUCAGGAAAAUGAACUAUAUUAAAAUUUGAAUGUCUAAUUUGGGCUAGACUUCUUUCAUAGGUGGUUGGUUAACAUAAUAAAGGUAAACUUAGUUCUGUGCUGGACACUGUCAUGAAAUAUGUAACAGUGCCAUACAUUCUAGACCUCAGCACUUGACUGAGUUAGAAGGUGUGUUUCCAGCUCUAUCUCCUCUACUGCCUUUGAAAGAGCAUGUUGGGUCCACGGAGUAAGAGUCUGUUUGUUAGUGGUGAUAAAAGAAAUUCCCUGCCCCCCUAGAAAGAAGUCAUUGAGUCCUUACCCAAUCUCUUAACUGAUUAAGCUGUCUUGGGUCAUUUCAUUAUAUAUUUACAGAUAAUAAAUCAGCAAUUCAUUUGUGUAAAUUAUUUGCCUAAAUGUGAAAGUGAGAAGUGGCUGGUGUUUGCAUUUUGUAACAUGUAACAAUCUGUGUCAUGAGUCUAGCCUCCCAUUACAGUUCACAGGCCCAUCAUGUUCUGAGUGAUUACACAUUGUUUACAGCUCUCUACAUUCAUAGCUGCCCUGUAGAAUUUUCAAAAGAGGAUACUAAAUAGUCAUGUCAGACCAUAUCUAGACUGCAGGAUGGAUUGUUGAGCUCCUGACAGUGGCCUGAAGUUGAUGUGACUUGUAGAUGUGAACAUUAUCAUACAAAAGAAUGGCACAGCAUUUUGUUUUCAAGACACUUGACAGAGCCUUCAUGGAAGCUGUACAGGAUUCACAAGUUGACUAUGAACUUAUGAGCAUGGACUCCUUUGAAAACAGAUAUUCAUGCAGUACCCAUAAUAUUACAUACCUGUAAACAUAACAUUUUCAUAACAUUCAGAAUCCUGUGUUUCCACUGCAUGCUGUAUGGUUUCUGGAAUCUAUCCAUGAGUUACCUGUUACCUGUUGAGCAUCUUUGAAGGAUGAGAAAGGUAGGCUGUACCUUAUACAGCCUUUCCUCCUAUGACAUACUCACCCUUACAUGGUCCAUUGUGUUUUACUUUAUUCAUUCUGGUCCGUCACACUAGUUGAAUAUUAUAGAAUGAUUUGACAACACAGUCCAGUGUGACUCAA